rnacentral:rRNA from 1 species
GCAAGUCUGGUGCCAGCAGCCGCGGUAAUUCCAGCUCCAAUAGCGUAUAUUAAAGUUGUUGAGGUUAAAAAGCUCGUAGUUGAACCUUGGGCCUAGCCGGCCGGUCCGCCUCACCGCGUGCACUGGCUUGGCUGGGCCUUUCCCUCUGGGGAACCUUAUGGUCUUUACUGAUCGUACUGGGGAACCAGGACUUUUAC